CCCAACAGUAGUUCAGUCAGUAAGAGCAUGUGACUCUUAAUCUCAGGGCUGUGGGUUCAAGUCCCAAUGUUGGGC